UUAAAUUGAAGAGUUUGAUCAUGGCUCAGAUUGAACGCUGGCGGCAGGCCUAACACAUGCAAGUCGAGCGGAAACGAGUUGUCUGAACCUUCGGGG
rnacentral:rRNA from 2 species